rnacentral:rRNA from 1 species
AUUGAACGCUGGCGGCAGGCCUAACACAUGCAAGUCGAACGAGUGGCGGACGGGUGAGUAAUGUCUGGGAAACUGCCUGAUGGAGGGGGAUAACUACUGGAAACGGUAGCUAAUACCGCAUACCAUCGGAUGUGCCCAGAGGGGAUGAGCUAGUCGGUGGGGUAACGGCUCACCUAGGCGACGAUCCCUAGCUGGUCUGAGAGGAUGACCGGCCACACUGGAACUGAGACACGGUCCAGACUCCUACGGGAGGCAGUAGUGGGGAAUAGUGCACAAUGGGCGAAAGCCUGAUGCAGCCAUGCCGCGUGUGUGAAGAAGGCUUUCGGGUUGUAAAGUACUGUCAGCGGGGAGGCGUUACCCGCAGAAAAAGCCCCGGCUAACUCCGUGCCAGCAGCCGCGGUAAUAC